AUAGGUAUGUGCAUCGGGUGCUCCGUGCGUCGAAGGUUGUGAAGGAAGCUUAACAAAUUUCAGGGCACAUUGACAAUUCCAAUAAAGGCCUCUGCGUUUUCUUGCACUUGUCAAGUCAAUAGUGCACACGUACACGCAGACUGCAUAGCUCGAGGUGGUCACGGCUGUUGCAUAAUCGAUUUCCCAGCGAAUAGGAAUUCGAACGGACUUAUUGGAAAUGUCUCUGCGCGCGGAUUAAAAUAACUUUGGAUCUGCGUUUGCACGCGCGUCCACACGUACGUUCUGCCAUUGAGUGUGUGCGAAAGUCGUGGGUGCUGAUAAAAUUGUAAAUUUCCAAGUGCUAAGGCGACUGCGGAAAUUCGUGGUAUGUACGUCAGGAAGGCGACAAGCUUAUUGUGUACGUGGCAUAAGGCCACUUGGCCAAACAGCACGAUAAACUACGAUAGGGUGUAUCGCGUGGCAGGAGAGAUUGGUGGGUAUCGACAUAUUGAAGUUUUGCAAAUUGCUCGAUUAUCCAUGGAGUGCACUAUCGUUAACGCUACGGAUAUACGACUUGAGAAAAAAGAUAGAUAAUCGAAGAUGCAAGAAAAUAUGCGUCGUACGUGAUCGCGCCACGACUUCCGCCACUCUACUGAAGCAAAUUGCGCUGCUGGUAACGUAAAGGCGGUUCGCAAAGACUACGACGUCUCCCACAGCUGCUACCUGCCUGGACGUCUCGACGCCUAACGAGUUUUCCGCCGGGAAGAUUUGAAAAGUGCAGCUGAACACUGCUUUUCCAUGGAGGAUUCACGGAGCUUUAUAAUUUUGUCGAAAAUGCCAUGAACUCACUUGGUUAACCAUCGCUCGAAAAGUUCUAUGGAAUAGUAUUCCGGUUCCUUGAGAAUUGAAAGGAUCGACCAAGGGUCCUUCCUUCCUCCUUUCUUGGUCAAUAAGACAAACAUUUCCAAAGGCAGAGGCUAUUCUUCCGGCGGGAUUUGACAUGGGUACCUCUUUAGAUAGCUUUACUAAAAUUCGGCAGUUUCCAACGUUACUCUGCAAGACAUCUGGGCCCGAUCCAAAGGAUUUGUUGUGGACAUGACCUAAAGAUGGCUCCUUCGGUAGCCACGAGAUGCGUGUCUCUUCUAAAAGCAACAACCCUUUAAAAGAUGCAAGGAAGUAACAGCAGGUGAAAUAUGGAGAAGAAGAGAAACGCAGGUACCGAUCGAGAGCCAUUAAAAGUAGAGGUACCGCGGAUGCCAUUCUUUUAUCAGGUAAUUGCAGCCUUCGUGGUAAAAAAAGCUGCCCUAAGUAAUUUUCUGCAAAGACGUAGCGAAAAGUGACGUUUGGCUGAAUUAAAGAAAUAUGAAAUAGUUCCCAGGACGUUUAAAUUUGUUUUUCUCGUUAAAAUUUGAUCUGUUUCUUUCUCCCUUUCUUCUUCUCUCGUAUUUGCAGUGGCUGGCAUAAAUUGCCGCGGUAUGUGUCUAUAAACAGAGCGUACGUGCGGGAGAUCGGGCAGCGACGUUCAUUACGAAACGCGAGUAUCAAAAUAGACGUCGUCGGCCGUCGCGUAAACACUAGGGUGGGUCAGAGAGAGAGUGUGUGUGUGUGUGAGAGAGAGAGAGAGAGAGAGAGAGAGAGAGAGAGAGAGAGAGAAAUAGAGGGACAAGGAAGAGAGAAGAGGAGAAGAAGCAAAAAAAUAAGGGAAAAUAACUGUUACCGAUCGGCCAACUGACGCAGGAAAAGUCCAGGGCUGGUGAAACGCAAAAUAUAUCAAUUCAACGUCGAAAACAGAAACAUUCGACACGUCGCUCAUGUGCAAUUAUUAUUAUUAUUAUUAGUUAUCUCUCGUUAUCUAAUCGGUGCGAUAAUCACAGCGCAUAAUUAGUCCAACUUCGACAGCUAGACAAAAUUUUCAAAGUUGAAUGGACUUGGCACCACGCCCGAGGUUAACAUUUUACUUUAAUAAUCCUUUUAUCAUUUGUCACCGUCUGCCAGUUGAUUUUUUUAAAGGGCGCCUUUUCACGAGUACCAAGCAACGGAAUUGAACGCGCUACUUGGCCGAUUUGACCGAGCGUGGCUGUUACGUGAGCGAAAUCAACCAGUCAGCGGGAUUCUCUUACUACUGCUAGUUGUUUGUUGCUCGUGAAAAGGCGCUCUUAAUCCGUACUAAUUGUUGCACUGGGAAAUCAGCUGCGGCGGGCUUUUUGAAUUCUUGAAAGAAGCACGCGCCAGAAGCACGUGCUCCGCGCCACGUGGUCCCCACCUUGAUUUUCAUAUUUGUGUUGUUAGUGUAUGCGCGAGAACACAUACAAGAAUACGAAAUUGAAAUUCAAUCCUAAGCGUCAUGUUCUUAAAAAAUGACACGUCAAUUCCUAUAAUACCCCAAUACUGUUCCUGAAAAACUUGUCUUUAUCUCAUUUUCACUCCCUUGUCGCAAAGAUUUCACAAAUGUCUGCCAGAUAGUAACAGGCUGCACGUCAGUUGAAAAUAAUUACUGCCAUGAUUGUUAUUCACCAGUGUAACUGUAGGUACAAGUUUUUCACGCGUGUUAAAAGCGGCGUCAGGCACUGCUGAACGCGAAGUUUAUCACAAUUAAAAAGUUCCAUCAUACGGAAACAUUAUACAAUUAAAAACAAACGUUGCAAUUGCGUCAGAAGUAGCACGAUGGCUGGUAAAUUCUAUGAGACUCGAAAAAUAAUUGACUGAUAUCUUUCUACCUUUGUACAGUAAAGAAAUAUUGAUUUUUAAUAGCCUGGCACCAUCGCACCAUCAAAUAAAUAUCAAUACUCUAUUCACCAUAGUAACUCAAUAAAUAUGACAAAGUAUCAAGUAUUUUAAUAUUUUUUUGUUAAUUAAACGACUAUAAGAUUUAUAAAAACUGAAAACACUCUGAAUCGCUAACGAAUACUAAGCUAGCAUUAAACAUAAGUGUUGGAGAAUGAUAGUCACCAUUAAACCAGUUUUUAGAGAACAAGAGUUCAGAACUUGUCACAUUUAAAGGCCAUACCAUACGAUAAGAUACGAAUACGUUUCAGUAGAUUUAUCCAUAUGGAGUAUAAAUGUGUAAACUGGAGAUAUAUCUUGGAGAUAAUUAGAUAGGUUAGAAAGAGCAUGUAUCUUAGGACAUAUGUUAUGUAUGCGUAGAUGGGUUAUGCAUAUUUAAUGAUAGCAGGUGAUAGUUUCGUAAAUGGGAUUAUGACUUGAAAUUAAAUAACCGCGGUAUAUCGACCCUUGAAAAUUGAUUCGACAUACACAAUAUUUAUAAUUGUUAAGUCUUGACGACGCGUUCCUAUUGUUUAUUUUAAAUUGGGAAAUGAUAACCGAAUGGACAAUGAUUUAUGUAACGGAAGUAUAAUGGUUCCUUGCGUGACACUUCUCUUAUAUAUUCUUUCGUUAUGAUCGUCGUUAAGAGGAUCGACUCUGAUUAUGAUGUAUGAGGUAUUACGUUGUUAGGAUAGUCACACGCAAUAGAAAUUUACUGUGAAAAUCCUUGAAGUACAAUAAUCUGUGAUUUAUUUAAUGCAAUAUCAUUUUCAGGAAUGUAAAUGCUGUGUAAAAUAAUUUUACCAUAUCAUUUUUUCAGAAAUUCGGGAUUUUGAAAAGCGUUGUGGAUAUAACUAUUUCACAGAAAUAUUAGGAUAGAAUAAAAAGAAUAGAGUAAAUUCUAACGAAGAGUGAAAAUUAACAAUCUUUGCAAAAUUGUUAAUUUCUUAAACGUUAGGCCUGCUUGGGUCCACGUUAAGUGAAUAAGAAAUUGUUUAAUGUAUUGAUACAAGUAUAACAUUGCUUCAUGAAUUCAGAAAAGUUAGAGAACUGAUACAGAAUAAUCAAAGCAUUAAAAUUUAAGCACAUUGUAAAUUUUUGGAGAUAAUUAGCAACAAAAGAAGAAAUAUGUAGAACACAGUGAUACUUGAACCACUGACCCUGGUGUGUGAAAAUAAAAUGAAACGCUGUUUAUCUUCAGUGUUGCAUCACGUGUGCCAACGAAGUUGAAUAUGAACAGACAUGUAUGAGAAACUAAUGUGAGUGAGAUAAUCAUCAGGUAUCUCUAUAGCCUGAAUAUCUCAAGUAUUUGGUAUUCCUGAGAGAUUUGGUGUUUUAUUUGCUAAUAUUAAUAAGGCAGUCAAUGUUCAACUCUACUAAUAAGAAAUUAUCACAUGAUGCACCUAAAGUAGCUAGGGUCUAGAAUAUUUAAAAAACAAUAUGCUUGUAUACCAAUUGUCAAUGUAGGAAUAAUAAUAUCUA